rnacentral:rRNA from 1 species
UACGUAGGGGGCAAGCGUUGUCCGGAUUUAUUGGGCGUAAAGAGCUCGUAGGCGGUCUGUCGCGUCGAAUGUGAAAACCCGGGGCUCAACCCCGGGCCUGCAUUCGAUACGGGCAGACUAGAGUUCGGUAGGGGAGUCUGGAAUUCCUGGUGUAGCGGUGAAAUGCGCAGAUAUCAGGAGGAACACCGGUGGCGAAGGCGGGACUCUGGACAAUUCCUGACGCUGAGGCACGAAAGCUAGGGGAGCAAACAGG